rnacentral:rRNA from 1 species
GAUGAACGCUAGCUACAGGCUUAACACAUGCAAGUCGAGGGACCGGCGCACGGGUGAGUAACACGUAUCCAACCUGCCCUUUACUCGGGGAUAGCCUUUCGAAAGAAAGAUUAAUACCCGAUAUAAAGGAUGGGGAUGCGUUCCAUUAGGUUGUUGGUGAGGGAACGGCUAACCAAGCCUUCGAUGGUUAGUGGCUCGGAGAGGAAGGUCCACGAGAUUGGAGCAGCGGCACGGUCCACACUCGGAGGCGUGGGAGCAGUGAGGAAUACUGGGCAAUGGGCGCUAGCCUGAAAAAGCCGAGUAGGGUAAAGGAUGAAGGCGUAUGUGUCGUAAACUUCUUGUAUAUAAGAAUAUGUAUUAUAUGAAUAAGCAUCGGCUAACUCCGUGCCAGCAGCCGCGGUAAUAC